ensembl:misc_RNA Metazoa_SRP Metazoan signal recognition particle RNA
GCUGGGCAUGGUGGCUCGUGCCUGUAAUCCCAGCUACUUGGGAGGCUGAGACAGGAGAAUUGCUUGAACCCAGGAGGCAGAGGUUGCAGUGAGCCGAGAUUGCGCCACUGCACUCCAGCCUGGGUAACAGAGCAGGACUCCAUCUCAA